AUAUUUAGACAAACGCGGCAUUUUUAAUAGUGCUGAGGAAAGUCCAUGCUCGCAAAGUCUGAGAUGACUUUAGUGUUCGUGCUUAGGGAAAAAAUAACCUAAGGUCAAGGUAACUUGAACGGCUCUUCGAUAACCUAAGUCAAUAGAUAUGGUUUAGAAGUAUAAAAGUGCCAUAGUGACGAAUAAACUAGAAAUAGUGGAUGUGGAACGCGGUAAACCCCACGAGCGAGAAACCCAAAUUUUGGUAGGGGAGCAAAGCCUAGAGAACUGAAUCGAAGCUUUGACCGAGUAAUCGGUAGAUAAAUGUUUGUCACCUCAUCUGAGGUACAGAACAUGGCUUAUUAAU
rnacentral:RNase_P_RNA from 1 species